rnacentral:snoRNA from 1 species
AAGACUGUGCUUUCAAGGAUCAUUUCUAUAGUUGGUGAUUGGAGAAGGGUCUGUAUGAAAAGCUGGUCUUGCUAACCAUGAUGAAGAGUUAUAGUGUUUCCUUUUAAGCAUGAUAGUAGCAGACAGUGCUGGUCUGUACCAGUUACUUUCUGCUGUAGAGGAUUGUCCUGUUUUUCAUCAGAAAAGCAGGGGAAGGAACCACAGUCUGAGUGGU